rnacentral:rRNA from 1 species
UACAGAGGUCUCAAGCGUUGUUCGGAUUCAUUGGGCGUAAAGGGUGCGUAGGCGGCGCGGUAAGUCGGGUGUGAAAUCUCGGAGCUUAACUCCGAAACUGCAUUCGAUACUGCCGUGCUUGAGGACUGGAGAGGAGACUGGAAUUUACGGUGUAGCGGUGAAAUGCGUAGAUAUCUGGAGGAACACCGGUGGCGAAGGCGGCAUCCUGGACCAACACUGACACUGAGGAGCGAAAGCCAGGGGAGCAAACGGG